UACGUAGGGUGCAAGCGUUGUCCGGAAUUAUUGGGCGUAAAGAGCUCGUAGGCGGUCUGUCGCGUCUGCUGUGAAAAUCCGGGGCUCAACCCCGGACUUGCAGUGGGUACGGGCAGACUAGAGUGUGGUAGGGGAGACUGGAAUUCCUGGUGUAGCGGUGAAAUGCGCAGAUAUCAGGAGGAACACCGAUGGCGAAGGCAGGUCUCUGGGCCACUACUGACGCUGAGAAGCGAAAGCAUGGGGAGCGAACAGG
rnacentral:rRNA from 1 species